CACGUAGGGUGCGAGCGUUGUCCGGAAUUAUUGGGCGUAAAGAGCUCGUAGGCGGUUUGUCGCGUCUGCCGUGAAAGUCCGGGGCUCAACUCCGGAUCUGCGGUGGGUACGGGCAGACUAGAGUGAUGUAGGGGAGACUGGAAUUCCUGGUGUAGCGGUGAAAUGCGCAGAUAUCAGGAGGAACACCGGUGGCGAAGGCGGAUCUCUGGGCCAUUACUGACGCUGAGGAGCGAAAGCGUGGGGAGCGAACAGG
rnacentral:rRNA from 1 species